rnacentral:rRNA from 1 species
UCACGCUGUAAACGAUGUCGAUUUGGAGUUUGUUGCCUAGAGUGAUGGGCUCCGAAGCUAACGCGAUAAAUCGACCGCUGGGGAGUACGGCCGCAAGGUUAAAACUCAAAUGAAUUGACGGGGGCCCGCACAAGCGGUGGAGCAUGUGGUUUAAUUCGAUGCAACGCGAAGAACCUUACCUGGUCUUGACAUCCAUAGAAUUCUGCAGAGAUGUGGGAGUGCCUUCGGGAACUAUGAGACAGGUGCUGCAUGGCUGUCGUCAGCUCGUGUUGUGAAAUGUUGGGUUAAGUCCCGCAACGAGCGCAACCCUUAUUCUUUGUUGCCAGCGAUUUGGUCGGGAACUCAAAGGAGACUGCCGUUGAUAAAGCGGAGGAAGGUGGGGACGACGUCAAGUCAUCAUGGCCCUUACGACCAGGGCUACACACGUGCUACAAUGGCGUAUACAAAGGGAAGCGAAGGUGCGAGCUGGAGCGGAUCUCAUAAAGUACGUCUAAGUUCGGAUUGGAGUCUGCAACUCGACUCCAUGAAGUCGGAAUCGCUAGUAAUCGUAGAUCAGAAUGCUACGGUGAAUACGUUCCCGGGCCUUGUACACACCGCCCGUCACACCAUGGGAGUGGGUUGCACCAGAAGUAGAUAGCUUAACCGCGAGGGGGGCGUUUACCACGGUGUGAUUCAUGACUGGGGUGAGGUCGUAACAAGGUAACCA